rnacentral:misc_RNA from 1 species
GAUGAAGAACGUAGCGAAAUGCGAUACGUAAUGUGAAUUGCAGAAUUCAGUGAAUCAUCGAAUCUUUGAACGCAUAUUGCGCUCUUUGGUAUUCCGAAGAGCAUGCUUGUUUGAGUAUCAGUAAACACCUCAAAACUUUUUUUUUUUUAAAAAAACAGUUUUGGACUUGAGCAAUCCCAACACCAAUCUUUUUUAGAUCGGUGGCGGGUUGCUUGAAAUGCAGGUGCAGCUGGACAUUCUCCUGAGCUAAAAGCAUAUUUAUUUAGUCCCGUCAAACGGAUUAUUACUUUUGCUGCAGCUAAUAUAAAGGGAGUUUGACCGUUUUGGCUGACUGAUGCAGGAUUUCACAAGGGUCGGCAACGAUUCUUGUAAAACUCGAUCUCAAAUCAAGUAAGACUACCCGCUGAACUUAAGCAUAUCAAUAAGCGGAGGA